rnacentral:rRNA from 1 species
AGAGCGAACGCUGGCGGCAGGCCUAAUACAUGCAAGUCGAGCGGCCCUUCGGGGUAGCGGCGGACGGGUGAGUAACGCGUGGGAACGUGCCCUUUGGUACGGAACAACUGAGGGAAACUUCAGCUAAUACCGUAUGUGCCCUUCGGGGGAAAGAUUUAUCGCCAUUGGAGCGGCCCGCGUUAGAUUAGCUAGUUGGUGGGUAAAGGCCUACCAAGGCAACGAUCUAUAGCUGGUCUGAGAGGAUGAUCAGCCACACUGGGACUGAGACACGGCCCAGACUCCUACGGGAGGCAGCAGUAGGGAAUCUUGCGCAAUGGGCGAAAGCCUGACGCAGCCAUGCCGCGUGAAUGAUGAAGGUCUUAGGAUUAGUAAAAUUCUUUCACCGGGACGAUAAUGACGGUACCCGGAGAAGAAGCCCGGCUAACUUCGCGCCAGCAGCCGC